GCUCUGUUGUUAGGGAAGAACAAGUACCGUUCGAAUAGGGCGGUACCUUGACGGUACCUAACCAGAAAGCCACGGCUAACUACGUGCCAGCAGCCGCGGUAAUACGUAGGUGGCAAGCGUUGUCCGGAAUUAUUGGGCGUAAAGGGCUCGCAGGCGGUUUCUUAAGUCUGAUGUGAAAGCCCCCGGCUCAACCGGGGAGGGUCAUUGGAAACUGGGGAACUUGAGUGCAGAAGAGGAGAGUGGAAUUCCACGUGUAGCGGUGAAAUGCGUAGAGAUGUGGAGGAACACCAGUGGCGAAGGCGACUCUCUGGUCUGUAACUGACGCUGAGGAGCGAAAGCGUGGGGAGCGAACAGGAUUAGAUACCCUGGUAGUCCACGCCGUAAACGAUGAGUGCUAAGUGUUAGGGGGUUUCCGCCCCUUAGUGCUGCAGCUAACGCAUUAAG
rnacentral:rRNA from 1 species